AAUAGAUACCCCGGUAGUCCACGCCGUAAACGAUGAGUGCUAAGUGUUAGAGGGUUUCCGCCCGUUUAGUGCUGAAGUUAACGCAUUAAGCACUCCGCCUGGGGAGUACGGCCGCAAGGCUGAAACUCAAAGGAAUUGACGGGGGCCCGCACAAGCGGUGGAGCAUGUGGUUUAAUUCGAAGCAACGCGAAGAACCUUACCAGGUCUUGACAUCCUCUGACAACCCUAGAGAUAGGGCUUCUCCUUCGGGAGCAGAGUGACAGGUGGUGCAUGGUUGUCGUCAGCUCGUGUCGUGAGAUGUUGGGUUAAGUCCCGCAACGAGCGCAACCCUUGAUCUUAGUUGCCAUCAUUCAGUUGGGCACUCUAAGGUGACUGCCGGUGACAAACCGGAGGAAGGUGGGGAUGACGUCAAAUCAUCAUGCCCCUUAUGACCUGGGCUACACACGUGCUACAAUGGACGGUACAAAGAGCUGCAAGACCGCGAGGUGGAGCUAAUCUCAUAAAACCCGUUCUCAGUUCGGA
rnacentral:rRNA from 1 species